rnacentral:rRNA from 1 species
UACAGAGGGGGCAAGCGUUGUUCGGAAUUACUGGGCGUAAAGGGCGCGUAGGCGGCCUUCUAAGUCGAACGUGAAAUCCCCGGGCUCAACCCGGGAACUGCGUCCGAGACUGGAAGGCUUGAAUCCGGGAGAGGGAUGUGGGAAAUUCCGAGGUGUAGCGGUGAAAUGCGUAGAUAUCUGGAGGAAUACCGGUGGCGAAGGCGGCAAUCCUGGACCAUAACUGACGCUGAGGCGCGAAAGCUAGGGGAGCAAACGGGGAUUAAGAAACC